rnacentral:rRNA from 1 species
CUACGGGCGGCUCCAGUGGGGAAUUUUGCGCAAUGGGGGAAACCCUGACGCAGCAAUACCGCGUGAGUGAAGAAGGCCUUUGGGUCGUAAAGCUCUUUUCUUGGGGAAGAUAGUGACGGUACCCAAGGAAUAAGCACCGGCUAACUCCGUGCCAGCAGCCGCGGUAAUACGGAGGGUGCAAGCGUUGUUCGGAUUUACUGGGCGUAAAGGGCACGUAGGCGGCACAGCAAGUUAAGGGUGAAAUCCCGGGGCUCAACUCCGGAACUGCUCUUAAAACUGCUGAGCUAGAGAUAGUCAGAGGCGGGUGGAAUUCCAGGUGUAGAGGUGAAAUUCGUAGAUAUCUGGAGGAACACCGGUGGCGAAGGCGGCCCGCUGGGGCUAUUCUGACGCUAAGGUGCGAAAGCGUGGGGAGCAAACGGGAUUAGAUACCCCAGUAGUC